rnacentral:rRNA from 1 species
CCUACGGGGGGCAGCAGUGAGGAAUAUUGGACAAUGGCCGGAAGGCUGAACCAGCCAUGCCGCGUGAAGGUCAGUGCCCUAUGGGCGUUAAACUUCUAUUGUGCGGGAGCAAUAAUGGCCAUGCGUGGCCAGACGAGAGUACCGUACGAAUAAGCAUCGGCUAACUCCGUGCCAGCAGCCGCGGUAUUACGGGGGAUGCCAGGGUUUACCGGAUUUAUUGGGUUAAAGGGGGCUUAGGCUGGGAGGUAAGUUAGCGGGGAAAUGCCCCGGCUCAACGGGGUGAAGUGCCAUUGAUACUGCCUUGCUGGAGUGCGGAUGCCGUGAGAGGAAUGUGUGGUGUAGCGGUGAAAUGCAUAGAUAUCACGCAGAACACCGAUUGCGAAGGCAUCUCACGAAUCCGCGAUUGACGCUGAUGCACGAAAGCGUGGGUAUCAAACAGGAUUAGAUACCCGUGUAGUC